rnacentral:rRNA from 1 species
AUUGAACGCUGGCGGCAUGCCUUACACAUGCAAGUCGAACGGUAACGCGGGGCAACCUGGCGACGAGUGGCGAACGGGUGAGUAAUGCAUCGGAACGUGCCCGGUAGUGGGGGAUAACUGCUCGAAAGAGCAGCUAAUACCGCAUACGACAUGAGGGUGAAAGGGGGGGAUCGCAAGACCUCUCGCUAUCGGAGCGGCCGAUGUCGGAUUAGCUAGUUGGUGGGGUAAGAGCCCACCAAGGCAACGCUCCGUAGCUGGUCUGAGAGGACGAAGAGCCACAGUGGAAGUGGGACACGGACCAGACUCCUACGGGAGGCAGCAGUGGGGAAUUUUGGACAAUGGACGCAAGUCUGAUCCAGCCAUGCCGCGUGCUGGAAGAAGUCCUUCGGGUUGUAAACCGCUUUUGUCAGGGAAGAAAUCUUCUGAGUUAAUACCUCUGGAGGAUGACGGUACCUGAAGAAUAAGCACAGGCUAACUACGUGCCAGCCGCCGCGGUAAUAC